CGGUGGGGGGAAUUGGACAUGGGGGGAGCCUGAUCCAGCCAUGCCGCGUGUGUGAAGAAGGCCUUCGGGUUGUAAACCUCUUUUAGCAGGGAGGAAGCUACUUGGACUAAUACCAAAAGAUUUUGACCUUUCCCCGCGAAAAAACCCCCGGUAAAUACGAGGCCGCCGCCGCGGUAAUCA
rnacentral:rRNA from 1 species